UGGAUCCAGACUUUGAUCAUGGCUCAGGACGAACGCUGGCGGCGUGCCUAACACAUGCAAGUCGAACGAAGCUUGACGGUAGAUUUCUUCGGAAUGAAGCCUGAUAUGACUUAGUGGCGGACGGGUGAGUAACACGUGAGCAACCUGCCUUUCAGAGAGGAAUAACGGCUGGAAACGGUCGCUAAUACCUCAUAAUGUAUAUUUAAGGCAUCUUAGAUAUACCAAAGAUUUAUCGCUGAAAGAUGGGCUCGCGUCUGAUUAGAUAGUUGGUGAGGUAAUGGCUCACCAAGUCGACGAUCAGUAGCCGGACUGAGAGGUUGAACGGCCACAUUGGGACUGAGACACGGCCCAGACUCCUACGGGAGGCAGCAGUGGGGAAUAUUGCACAAUGGGCGCAAGCCUGAUGCAGCAACGCCGCGUGAGGGAAGACGGUUUUCGGAUUGUAAACCUUUGUCUUUGGUGAAGAAGAAAGUGACGGUAACCAAGGAGGAAGCCACGGCUAACUACGUGCCAGCAGCCGCGGUAAUACGUAGGUGGCAAGCGUUGCCCGGAAUUACUGGGUGUAAAGGGAGCGCAGGCGGGACUGCAAGUUGGAUGUGAAAUACCGAGGCUCAACCUCGGGGCUGCAUCCAAAACUGUAGUUCUUGAGUGAAGUAGAGGUAGGCGGAAUUCCGAGUGUAGCGGUGAAAUGCGUAGAUAUUCGGAGGAACACCAGUGGCGAAGGCGGCCUACUGGGCUUUAACUGACGCUGAGGCUCGAAAGUGUGGGGAGCAAACAGGAUUAGAUACCCUGGUAGUCCACACUGUAAACGAUGAUAGCUAGGUGUGGGGGGUCUGACCCCUUCCGUGCCGGAGUUAACGCAAUAAGCUAUCCACCUGGGGAGUACGGCCGCAAGGUUGCAACUCAAAUGAAUUGACGGA
rnacentral:rRNA from 1 species